rnacentral:rRNA from 1 species
CUUGACAUCCAGCGAACUUGGCAGAGAUGCCUUGGUGCCUUCGGGAACGCUGAGACAGGUGCUGCAUGGCUGUCGUCAGCUCGUGUUGUGAAAUGUUGGGUUAAGUCCGCAACGAGCGCAACCCUUAUCCUUUGUUGCCAGCGAUUCGGUCGGGAACUCAAAGGAGACUGCCGGUGAUAAACCGGAGGAAGGUGGGGAUGACGUCAAGUCAUCAUGGCCCUUACGAGUAGGGCUACACACGUGCUACAAUGGCGCAUACAAAGAGAAGCGACCUCGCGAGAGCAAGCGGACCUCAUAAAGUGCGUCGUAGUCCGGAUCGGAGUCUGCAACUCGACUCCGUGAAGUCGGAAUCGCUAGUAAUCGUGGAUCAGAAUGCCACGGUGAAUACGUUCCCGGGCCUUGUACACACCGCCCGUCACACCACGGGAGUGGGUUGCAAAAGAAGUAGGUAGCUUAACCUCCGGGAGGGCGCUUACCACUUUGUGAUUCAUGACUGGGGUGAAGUCGUAACAAGGUAGGCGUAGCGAG